GCCUAGCUCAGUUGGUAGAGUAUGAGGCUCUUUAAGCUCUGGGUUGUGGGUUCAAGUCCCAGGUUGGGCA